GAUUCUGGCUCAGGAUGAACGCUAGCGACAGGCUUAACACAUGCAAGUCGAGGGGCAGCAUAGAAGUAGCAAUACUUGGUGGCGACCGGCGCACGGGUGAGUAACGCGUAUGCAACCUACCUAUCAGAGGGGAAUAACCCGGCGAAAGUCGGACUAAUACCGCAUAAAACAGGGGCACCGCAUGGUGAUAUUUGUUAAAGAAAUUCGCUGAUAGAUGGGCAUGCGUUCCAUUAGGUAGUUGGUGAGGUAACGGCUCACCAAGCCGACGAUGGAUAGGGGAACUGAGAGGUUGGUCCCCCACACUGGUACUGAGACACGGACCAGACUCCUACGGGAGGCAGCAGUGAGGAAUAUUGGUCAAUGGGCGGGAGCCUGAACCAGCCAAGUCGCGUGAAAGGAAGAAGGAUCUAUGGUUCGUAAACUUCUUUUGCAGGGGAAUAAAGUGCAGGACGUGUCCUGUUUUGUAUGUACCCUGAGAAUAAGGAUCGGCUAACUCCGUGCCAGCCGCAGC
rnacentral:rRNA from 1 species